rnacentral:rRNA from 1 species
CGUCCCCCGCACACAACUUUAUGGGGGAUCCUGCCUGCCCAGUGACCAAAACUUCAACGGCCGCGGUAUCUUGACCGUGCAAAGGUAGCAUAAUCACUUGUCUCCUAAAUAGAGACUGGUAUGAAUGGCAAGACGGAGCUAAACUGUCUCUUUUUUUCUUUUCCGAAACUAACCUUCACGUGAAGAGACGUGAAUAAAAUCGUUAGACGAGAAGACCCUGUCGAGCUUAAAGCAAAAAAUAGGACCCUAACAAGCUCCAAAAUAUCCUAAUUUCUAAAACUAAAUAUAAAUGAACUCCCGGUACCUAUCAAAACUUUGGUUGGGGCAACCACGGAGAAAAAAAAUCCUCCGUUAAAAAAAUUAAUCAAGAAUAACAUUUCUAUUACCAAAACAAAUACUAAUGAUCCACCUAGGUGAUCAAAGAAACAAGUUACCGCAGGGAUAACAGCGUAAUCUUUUUUGAGAGUCCACAUUGACGAAAAGGUUUGCGACCUCGAUGUUGGAUCGGGACAUCCAAAGAGCGCAAAAGCUCUUAAAGGUUGGUCUGUUCGACCAUUAAAGUCCUACGUGAUCUGAGUUCAGACCGGCGAAAGC